GGAAGCGUGCCAGAGAGGUCGAAUGGGCCGCACUCGAAAUGCGGUAAGCCGGAAACGGCUUCGGAGGUUCGAAUCCUCCCGCUUCCGCAA
rnacentral:tRNA from 1 species